rnacentral:snRNA from 1 species
UUUUUCGUUAGCUUUGCGCAGUGGCAGUAUCGUAGCCAAUGAGGUUAAUCCGAGGCGCGAUUAUUGCUAAUUGAAAACUUUUCCCAAUACCCCGCCAUGACGACUUGAAAUAUAGUCGGCAUUGGCAAUUUUUGACAGU